rnacentral:tRNA from 1 species
GGUGUUGUAGCUCAGUGGUAGAGCGUGUACCUAGCAAGCAGGAGGUCCUGGGUUCAAUCCCCAGUGCCUCCA